GGUGAGAGUUUUUAAAACAUUGCCGGUAGGUCAUGGCAUGUUUCAGUGCACAUAGAAACUUCCUUUUUAUCAUAGUUUUUCUUCGUUAUUUUCCUUUGUUUGUCUUAAUUUCUUUCUACUUUUGGUAUUGUAUUUCUUAAACCUUUUUGACUUUCCAUGUUUCUUUUCUGCAACAAGCUUUCACAUUAAGUUAAGUCCCAUUCAUAUAUAUAUAUAUAUAUAUAUAUGUAUGUAUGUAUGUAUCCAGUUGUUAUGGUCAUUGCUUGGUAGGAUCAAUCGAAUAUGUGGUAAUCCAAUUGAUUUGUUGGCUUUUAAAAAAGAUUUUCAUCGAGUUCUUCACCUCCUGAUACUAGGGAAAAAAAUGGGUUUUCAAGCAAAUUCUUGGAUCCAGUGGAAUACCCUCACCUUGGAGGGGCUCGUGAUGGUGGUCUACAAUUUGGGUUUUGCUCUGGAAAUGGGUUUUCCUCCGGACAUGGUGCGGUGUUAGGAAUAACACUCGGUCAUCAAUUUAUGUGUGGAAGAAAGUUUAGAACUUUAUGCAGUCCAAGUGUUUGACGAAAUGCUCAGCUCAAGAUUUUUUGCGAAGGUUAUGUUUUCAGUCCUUUUAUCUGAGAUUGAGGGAGGAUGUUGAAUAUAUCACUACCAACUCAUCACUGCCACUCAUCAAAACAGUUGUAAAGGAUUGGACGAUGUAAUAGUUAGUUGAAAGAGUUAGUUAGAGUUUGUUACUCAAAGCUUAUGAGCUAGUCCUCUAGUCAACUAUAUAUAGCUAUUGUAAAGAUAUAGUAAAAUUAGUCAUUGAAUUCAAUACAAAACCUUCAUUCAUUU